rnacentral:rRNA from 1 species
CCUCUUGUUCGGGAUAACUGCUGGAAACGGCAGCUAAUACCGGAUAAGCUCCCCCAAUUGUAUGGGGAGGAAAGGAGGCCUCCUCAUGAAAGCUUCCGCGAGGGGAUGAGUCCGCGUCCCAUUAGCUAGUUGGUGAGGUAACGGCCCACCAAGGCAACGAUGGGUAGCCGGUCUAAGAGGAUGACCGGCCACACUGGAACUGAAACACGGUCCAGACUCCUACGGGAGGCAGCAGUGGGGAAUAUUGCGCAAUGGACGAAAGUCUGACGCAGCGACGCCGCGUGAGGGAUGAAGGUUUUCGGAUCGUAAACCUCUGUCAGGAGGGAAGAAAGCGCAUGGCGCCAAUCAGCCAUGCGUUGACGGUACCUCCAAAGGAAGCGCCGGCUAACUCCGUGCCAGCAGCCGCGGUAAUACGGAGGGCGCGAGCGUUAAUCGGAAUUACUGGGCGCAAAGCGCGCGUAGGCUGUUGUGUAAGUUGGGGGUGAAAUCCCACGGCUCAACCGUGGAACAGCCCUUGAUACUGCGCGACUUGAAUCCGGGAGAGGGUGGCGGAAUUCCAGGUGUAGGAGUGUAAUCCGUAGAUAUCUGGAGGAACAUCAGUGGCGAAGGCGGCCACCUGGACCGGUAUUGACGCUGAGGCGCGAAAGCGUG